ACCCGUAUCGUUACUCUCAAGUCUUGCCUCUUCUAUGAGCCAGUCCUUGGGAAAAACAAGUAAAAAUGUCUUCCUCGUACCAGUCAUCACGGUCAUCUGCAACUCAUAGAAGAGCGGCUCCGCCACCAAUUGUAAACAACACGGCCUCAUCCGGAUCCGUGCAGCAAGAUGUUGACCCGGCUCCGACCCCACGGCCCAUAUUCCAGUUUCUCGGGUUCGGCUUCAUCUUAUUCCUUGUCUUUCUUCAGUUCCUCCCCGCUACUCAUUUCCGACACCCCUCUGAUCCUCUGAGAACCUGGACCCCUUUUGAUGAUUCUACCGCCUUUGGGGCUACAAGUGAUGGGAAUUCCAGUUCUGCUGCAAAGAACAACGGGGAGGAUGGAAUGGUACAUGUUGUGUCAUGGAUGGACUGUCUUGAUCUUCGCUUGCUUGCUGUUCUUGCUAACUCAACUCUAUUAAGCUCGAGAUAUCCACAUCUGGUUUUCUUUCAUUUCUUUAUCCCUAAAGGGAAUGAGGACAAAGUUUCCUUUUUCAAAUUAAAAGUUCUAUUUCCACAUUCAAACCUCGAAAUUCAUGGGCAGGAGGAAGUGAAAGAAAUAAUUGCAACUGCCAUUUCUGGAACACAAUUUGCUGGAUCCAGCUUUGUGGAAGUAGCACCUUUUAUCAUUCCAAGUGUGCACCAGUCCUUGACCAAGUUCAUUUAUAUCUCACCGAACAUACUAAUGAAGGGGAAAGUUGAAGACCUAAUUGGAACUGCCUUGAGCAAUUAUGCCAUUGGAGCUGCUGAGGACUGCUCUAGAAAAUUAGAUAUGUUUGUUAAUUCCAAUGUGUUGGAUGCUAUUCAGAGAUCAGCUUCAAAGCCUUGGGUUUCUGAGACACCUUAUGUGAAAAAUACAUGUACGCCAGACUUGAGUGUGCUUUUGAUUGAUUCAACAAAAUUGGACGGAGAUUUUGUGGAUGCUUUUCUGUGGUGGAGUAAAGUUCUCAAUUUGAAUGAAAGGAGCAGUGGAAAAAAUUCGGCCAUUGUCUUAGCACUCUACAAUAAAUAUCUCAAGCUUUCUAAUUCUUGGUCGGUCACACUCGCAACAUCUUCAGAAAUGAUCAACAAUACUAGGGUUAUCCGGUAUGACAUACCCAACAGUGUUUGUUCUCAAUUUGGAAGUGGUGCUACCCCACAGAUGUCGGGUAAUGGAAAUAUCUGGAAGCAUUACCUUUCCCCAAUGUCAGAUCAAAUCUUGGGAAGCUAGGAUUUUGGCUUCGAAAGAAAGAAUACUGCAGUACAUAAUGCCAUAAAUCUCACCAAAGGAGUGGUUGAAGGAUGUGCUCUAAAUAAUAGCCAAAGUGUAUAAAAUGUAUGGUAGCGAAGACUGCUUGGAAAACUACUCAAUAGUCUUUUAUGGAUGGAUUAUUUCAGCCUAAAGAGAAAGUUGACUUUUCUUGUCAGCAGAAAGCAUAGAUUUGCAUUGAAAAGGCUACUAAAGUCGUGCACCAUCAAUUGAUUUUGUUAACAGUAUUGGAUAUGAAAUUUAAAGGAUUAUUCGAACAGAAAAUUAACAAGGUUGGACAGCUUGGAAAUUGUUGACAUAAUUUUGUAUGGAACUUGCUGCUAUAAUUUUUUGUAAGAAACAAAAACAGAUGUCCAAGGAACAAGCCGUAUCUAUGUAUGUAUGUAUGUUUGGUGGAUUCCCAGGUUACAGAGUCUUGGAGUUUAACUCUGCUGGUGGACAGCAUAAUAUGCACAAUGGAGUUCCCUUGCAUGCAGCUGAUUAUUUCAUUCUUGGUCCAGUAAUUUCUGUUUUUCUUCAUUCACUGGUUACAUUUCCUGCAAUAGCAGUGUCUUAGGUUGAAUCAAUUUGCCUUUUUCUUUUCAAUAGAUGUUGAUUUAGUUGUUAUCA